rnacentral:rRNA from 1 species
GACGAACGCUGGCGGCGUGCUUAACACAUGCAAGUCGAACGGAAAGGCCUCUUUCGGGGGGUACUCGAGUGGCGAACGGGUGAGUAACACGUGAGUAACCUGCCCUUGACUUUGGGAUAACUUCAGGAAACUGGGGCUAAUACCGGAUAGGAGCUCCUGCUGCAUGGUGGGGGUUGGAAAGUUUCGGCGGUUGGGGAUGGACUCGCGGCUUGUCAGCUUGUUGGUGGGGUAGUGGCUUACCAAGGCUUUGACGGGUAGCCGGCCUGAGAGGGUGACCGGCCACAUUGGGACUGAGAUACGGCCCAGACUCCUACGGGAGGCAGCAGUGGGGAAUAUUGCACAAUGGGUGGAAGCCUGAUGCAGCAACGCCGUGUGCGGGAUGACGGCCUUCGGGUUGUAAACCGCUUUCGCUCAUGACGAAGCUUUGUGUGACGGUAGUGGGUAAAGAAGCACCGGCUAACUACGUG